rnacentral:rRNA from 1 species
CCUACGGGAGGCAGCAGUGAGGAAUAUUGGUCAAUGGACGCAAGUCUGAACCAGCCAUGCCGCGUGCAGGAAGACGGCUCUAUGAGUUGUAAAAUGCUUUUGUACGAGGGUAAACGCAGAUACGCGUAUCUGUCUGAAAGUAUCGUACGAAUAAUGAUCGGCUAACUCCGUGCCAGCAGCCGCGGUAAUACGGUGGAUUCAAGCGUUGUCCGGAUUGAUUGGGUUUAAAGGGUGCGUAGGCGGUCGGAUAAGUUAGAGGUGAAAUCCCGAGGCUCAACUUCGGAAUUGCCUCUGAGACUGUUCGGCUAGAGAGUAGUUGCGGUAGGCGGAAUGUAUGGUGUAGCGGUGAAAUGCUUAGAGAUCAUACAGAACACCGAUUGCGAAGGCAGCUUACCAAGCUACUUCUGACGUUGAGGCACGAAAGCGUGGGGAGCAAACAGGAUUAGAUACCCUUGUAGUC